AAUUGAAGUCGGUUUCGUUCGGGUAACCACUGUUUUUAAACUUGUAUCCUAUAAACAGUCCAAACAUUUCUGUUAGGUUCGGUUGUCUGUUUGGUUGGGUUUUUUGCUCAGCCCUACUGAUGCCUUAAGACCUUUCAUUAGUUUAGAUAUAAUGUGAUACAGAAAUUUUAUUGUGAUACUAAUCUGCAGAAAAAGAGAAAGUUCUAUGUUACAGCACUUAUUAUUCCAAAACAGGAAUCAACAUCCGACUCGUGCCAAACAACAAAUGAGGAGGAAAUAUUUGAUGUACAGGAUAAGAAAUCUCUAUUCCCCCUGGGGUGGAUUCAUACACAUCCUACACAAUCAUGUUUCAUGUCAUCAAUUGAUCUUCACACCCACUACUCAUACCAGG